AUUGAACGCUGGCGGCAGGCUUAACACAUGCAAGUCGAGCGGAGAUGAGGUGCUUGCACCUUAUCUUAGCGGCGGACGGGUGAGUAAUGCUUAGGAAUCUGCCUAUUAGUGGGGGACAACAUUCCGAAAGGAAUGCUAAUACCGCAUACGCCCUACGGGGGAAAGCAGGGGAUCUUCGGACCUUGCGCUAAUAGAUGAGCCUAAGUCGGAUUAGCUAGUUGGUGGGGUAAAGGCCUACCAAGGCGACGAUCUGUAGCGGGUCUGAGAGGAUGAUCCGCCACACUGGGACUGAGACACGGCCCAGACUCCUACGGGAGGCAGCAGUGGAGAAUAUUGGACAAUGGGCGGAAGCCUGAUCCAGCCAUGCCACGUGUGUGAAGAAGGCCUUUUGGUUGUAAAGCACUUUAAGCGAGGAGGAGGCUACCUGGAUUAAUACUCUAGGAUAGUGGACGUUACUCGCAGAAUAAGCACCGGCUAACUCUGUGCCAGCCGCCGCGGUAAUAC
rnacentral:rRNA from 1 species